CGUAAACAAGGCGCAAAUGAAAGCUGGCUCUGUUUCUUGGUGAAAAAAUUGCAGAAGUACCCUGCGAGUCACCAACAUUUACUGUGUCAUGGAAUCCAAAGAAACCUCUCUUAGCAUUUGCUUGUGAUGAUAAAAGUGAAAGAGAUCGUGACAGAGAUGCUGGAACAGUAAAAUUGUUUGGUCUCCCUGGAGAUCAUUAACAUACAGUUGUUACUAACAAAGUGUGGAAAACCUUUCUUAUAUAUACAGAAAUUGGGGUCUGUCGCAGUCAUGGAAAAGGUCUUUCAGUGUACUCUUGAAGUUUAAGCAAUGUUUAGAUUGGCAGGGAGGUGACUGAUAAAAGUAUGGAAAAACCAGAGUUUAUGUAAUAAAGAACAUGGAUUGAAAUAGGUUACAAAGAGCAUGUGAUCAUGUUGGAUUGACGUCUUGUAAAUUUGACUUAUGUACAAGCUGUAUCAUAAGAAAUGAAUUAAGAUGAAGCCGGUAUAUGGAAUGAAAUAGAUUUAUAAAUGGUAAAGUGUAUGUGAGAAAAUAUAAACAUGACUUGUGAAUGUAUUUGUGUAAAAAUUGUGAUUUACUUUUGGAGAACAAGCUUGUACUGAUGAAAAAUUCAGGAGUACAGUUAGAUACGGUUGCACCCGGUUUACAACUUUGAAAACAGCAACAAACCCAAGAAAAUAAAGAGACAGAAUAGAAGUUGGAUUUAUUUAUUAAUGAUUUUGGUGCAUAUAGUAAGAGACAAAGUGAUUUUAUUUGGUAUGACAUGUUAUAAACUGGUAAAUAAGCUUGUUUAAGAUAUUGUUGAUUUUUGGAAAUAUUCAUUACUAUAACAGAAAAGAAGGCAUUGUAAAUUAGUGCUUUACAUAUGUUGGUCUGUUAACAGUUCUGAUAAUGUGUAAAUGUCAAGUGAUUUGUCAUCAAAAUUUUAUUUCAAAAUGAGUAGCAAGCCUAGUAUAAGAUCAUCGGAACUUUUCUGUUAAAACAAUUUUGGCAUGUUUUUGCUUUUGAAAUAUUCCAUUAAAACAUUCACCAUUCUAUUUAUACAGCAGUUUGGCUCUGCUGGUGUCAUCAUGUGAGAAGCCAUCCCUCUGGCUUACAGAAGGCUGAUUGUUUUAUCUUUAAAAUAAUCCACAGAGGGUCAGCUGGAGUCUUCCUCCACAUUAAAAUUGGAAAAUUAUCAGAUAUAUUCAACUAAGUCAGAGUGACUAUAAAAAACCAAAACAGCAGGUUAGCUAUCCUUGUUUUGCAAACUGGUGGAAUUUCUUAUAUAAAGAUUCUUCAUAGAGCCAAAAUAAUUUGCACUGUUUCUAUCCUGCUCGUUUGAUUUCAGCCAAACUUGGAAAAGGACAAGUUGUUUGACUAGUUGUGCAUGUUUUUGAUGUUUUUGGCUUGAAUAAUGUUUAGCAAAGAAAUUGCUUUGAAAUAAUAAACAGAUAUUAUUUAUAAGAAAUAAACUUUUACUUAA
rnacentral:lncRNA from 1 species